CCUACGGGAGGCUGCAGUCGAGGAUCUUCGGCAAUGGGCGCAAGCCUGACCGAGCGACGCCGCGUGCGCGAUGAAGGCCUUCGGGUUGUAAAGCGCUGUCGAGGGGGAGGAAGCCCGCAAGGGUUGACCUAUCCCUGGAGGAAGCACGGGCUAAGUUCGUGCCAGCAGCCGCGGUAAGACGAACCGUGCGAACGUUGUUCGGAAUCACUGGGCUUAAAGGGCGCGUAGGCGGCCGGCCAAGUCCGAGGUGAAAGCCCCCGGCUCAACCGGGGAAGGGCCUUGGAUACUGGUCGGCUGGGGGGAGGUAGGGGCGGGCGGAACUUCCGGUGGAGCGGUGAAAUGCGUUGAUAUCGGAAGGAACGCCGGUGGCGAAAGCGGCCCGCUGGACCUCUGCCGACGCUGAGGCGCGAAAGCCAGGGGAGCGAACGGGAUUAGAUACCCCGGUAGUCCUGGCCCUAAACGAUGGGGACUAGGUAGUGGGCCGGUCUGGGCUCACUGCCGGAGCGAAAGUCUUAAGUCCCCCGCCUGGGGAGUAUGGUCGCAAGGCUG
rnacentral:rRNA from 1 species